AACGAACGCUGGCGGCAGGCUUAACACAUGCAAGUCGAACGCCCCGCAAGGGGAGUGGCAGCCGGGUGAGUAACGCGUGGGAACAUACCCUUUUCUACGGAAUAGCUCUGGGAAACUGGAAUUAAUACCGUAUACGCCCUACGGGGGAAAGAUUUAUCGGGGAAGGAUUGGCCCGCGUUGGAUUAGCUAGUUGGUGGGGUAAAGGCCUACCAAGGCGACGAUCCAUAGCUGGUCUGAGAGGAUGAUCAGCCACAUUGGGACUGAGACACGGCCCAAACUCCUACGGGAGGCAGCAGUGGGGAAUAUUGGACAAUGGGCGCAAGCCUGAUCCAGCCAUGCCGCGUGAGUGAUGAAGGCCUUAGGGUUGUAAAGCUCUUUCAACGAUGAAGAUAAUGACGGUAGUCGGAGAAGAAGCCCCGGCUAACUUCGUG
rnacentral:rRNA from 1 species